rnacentral:rRNA from 1 species
UUAAGCGACUAAGCGUACACGGUGGAUGCCCUGGCAGUCAGAGGCGAUGAAGGACGUGCUAAUCUGCGAUAAGCGUCGGUGAGGUGAUAUGAACCGUUAUAACCGGCGAUUUCCGAAUGGGGAAACCCAGUGUGUUUCGACACACUAUCAUUAACUGAAUCCAUAGGUUAAUGAGGCGAACCGGGGGAACUGAAACAUCUAAGUACCCCGAGGAAAAGAAAUCAACCGAGAUUCCCCCAGUAGCGGCGAGCGAACGGGGAGGAGCCCAGAGCCUGAAUCAGUGUGUGUGUUAGUGGAAGCGUCUGGAAAGGCGCGCGAUACAGGGUGACAGCCCCGUACACAAAAAUGCACAUAUUGUGAGCUCGAUGAGUAGGGCGGGACACGUGGUAUCCUGUCUGAAUAUGGGGGGACCAUCCUCCAAGGCUAAAUACUCCUGACUGACCGAUAGUGAACCAGUACCGUGAGGGAAAGGCGAAAAGAACCCCGGCGAGGGGAGUGAAAAAGAACCUGAAACCGUGUACGUACAAGCAGUGGGAGCCUCUUAAUGGGGUGACUGCGUACCUUUUGUAUAAUGGGUCAGCGACUUAUAUUCUGUAGCAAGGUUAACCGAAUAGGGGAGCCGAAGGGAAACCGAGUCUUAACUGGGCGUUAAGUUGCAGGGUAUAGACCCGAAACCCGGUGAUCUAGCCAUGGGCAGGUUGAAGGUUGGGUAACACUAACUGGAGGACCGAACCGACUAAUGUUGAAAAAUUAGCGGAUGACUUGUGGCUGGGGGUGAAAGGCCAAUCAAACCGGGAGAUAGCUGGUUCUCCCCGAAAGCUAUUUAGGUAGCGCCUCGUGAAUUCAUCUCCGGGGGUAGAGCACUGUUUCGGCAAGGGGGUCAUCCCGACUUACCAACCCGAUGCAAACUGCGAAUACCGGAGAAUGUUAUCACGGGAGACACACGGCGGGUGCUAACGUCCGUCGUGAAGAGGGAAACAACCCAGACCGCCAGCUAAGGUCCCAAAGUCAUGGUUAAGUGGGAAACGAUGUGGGAAGGCCCAGACAGCCAGGAUGUUGGCUUAGAAGCAGCCAUCAUUUAAAGAAAGCGUAAUAGCUCACUGGUCGAGUCGGCCUGCGCGGAAGAUGUAACGGGGCUAAACCAUGCACCGAAGCUGCGGCAGCGACACUAUGUGUUGUUGGGUAGGGGAGCGUUCUGUAAGCCUGUGAAGGUGGCCUGUGAGGGUUGCUGGAGGUAUCAGAAGUGCGAAUGCUGACAUAAGUAACGAUAAAGCGGGUGAAAAGCCCGCUCGCCGGAAGACCAAGGGUUCCUGUCCAACGUUAAUCGGGGCAGGGUGAGUCGACCCCUAAGGCGAGGCCGAAAGGCGUAGUCGAUGGGAAACAGGUUAAUAUUCCUGUACUUGGUGUUACUGCGAAGGGGGGACGGAGAAGGCUAUGUUGGCCGGGCGACGGUUGUCCCGGUUUAAGCGUGUAGGCUGGUUUUCCAGGCAAAUCCGGAAAACCAAGGCUGAGGCGUGAUGACGAGGCACUACGGUGCUGAAGCGACAAAUGCCCUGCUUCCAGGAAAAGCCUCUAAGCAUCAGGUAACAUCAAAUCGUACCCCAAACCGACACAGGUGGUCAGGUAGAGAAUACCAAGGCGCUUGAGAGAACUCGGGUGAAGGAACUAGGCAAAAUGGUGCCGUAACUUCGGGAGAAGGCACGCUGAUAUGUAGGUGAAGCGACUUGCUCGUGGAGCUGAAAUCAGUCGAAGAUACCAGCUGGCUGCAACUGUUUAUUAAAAACACAGCACUGUGCAAACACGAAAGUGGACGUAUACGGUGUGACGCCUGCCCGGUGCCGGAAGGUUAAUUGAUGGGGUUAGCGGUAACGCGAAGCUCUUGAUCGAAGCCCCGGUAAACGGCGGCCGUAACUAUAACGGUCCUAAGGUAGCGAAAUUCCUUGUCGGGUAAGUUCCGACCUGCACGAAUGGCGUAAUGAUGGCCAGGCUGUCUCCACCCGAGACUCAGUGAAAUUGAACUCGCUGUGAAGAUGCAGUGUACCCGCGGCAAGACGGAAAGACCCCGUGAACCUUUACUAUAGCUUGACACUGAACAUUGAGCCUUGAUGUGUAG